GACGAACGCUGGCGGCGUGCCUAAUACAUGCAAGUCGAACGAACCGCGACUAGGUGCUUGCACUUGGUCAAGGUGAGUGGCGAACGGGUGAGUAACACGUGGGUAACCUACCUCAUAGUGGGGGAUAACAGUCGGAAACGACUGCUAAUACCGCAUAGGACAUAGGAUCACAUGAUCCAGUGAGGAAAGGUGGCGCAAGCUAUCGCUAAGAGAUGGACCCGCGGUGCAUUAGCUAGUUGGUAGGGUAAAGGCCUACCAAGGCGAUGAUGCAUAGCCGACCUGAGAGGGUGAUCGGCCACAUUGGGACUGAGACACGGCCCAAACUCCUACGGGAGGCAGCAGUAGGGAAUCUUCCGCAAUGGACGCAAGUCUGACGGAGCAACGCCGCGUGAGUGAAGAAGGUCUUCGGAUCGUAAAGCUCUGUUGUUAGAGAAGAACAGCGCAUAGAGUAACUGUUAUGCGUGCGACGGUAUCUAACCAGAAAGCCACGGCUAACUACGUG
rnacentral:rRNA from 1 species